GACUACGUAGCUCAGUUGGUUAGAGCGUCCGACUGUUAAUCGGGAGGUCGACAGUUCAAACCUGUCCGCGGUCG
rnacentral:tRNA from 1 species